rnacentral:rRNA from 1 species
GACAGAGGGUGCAAACGUUGUUCGGAAUUACUGGGCGUAAAGCGCAUGUAGGCUGCUUCGAAAGUCGGAUGUGAAAGCCCUGGGCUCAACCUAGGAAGUGCAUUCGAAACUUCGAAGCUGGAGUCCUGGAGAGGAAGGCGGAAUUCUCGGUGUAGAGGUGAAAUUCGUAGAUAUCGAGAGGAACACCGGUGGCGAAGGCGGCCUUCUGGACAGUGACUGACGCUGAGACGCGAAAGCGUGGGGAGCAAACAGG